rnacentral:rRNA from 1 species
UACAGAGGUCCCAAGCGUUGUUCGGAUUCACUGGGCGUAAAGGGUGCGUAGGCGGUCGGGUAAGUCUGAUGUGAAAUCUCACAGCUUAGCUGUGAAACUGCAUUGGAUACUAUCCGGCUUGAGGAAUGGAGGGGAGACUGGAAUACUUGGUGUAGCAGUGAAAUGCGUAGAUAUCAAGUGGAACACCAGUGGCGAAGGCGAGUCUCUGGACAUUUCCUGACGCUGAGGCACGAAAGCCAGGGGAGCAAACGGG